rnacentral:tRNA from 1 species
UCUCUUGUAGCUCAGCUGGAUAGAGUACUCGGCUACGAACCGAGCGGUCGGAGGUUCGAAUCCUCCCGGAUGCACCA